UCAAACUUGGUCAUUUAGAGGAAGUAAAAGUCGUAACAAGGUUUCCGUAGGUGAACCUGCGGAAGGAUCAUUAAAAAAAACAAUCAUCCUUAAUACCAAUGUGCAUUUAUACUUGUGUGAUUGAGCCCCCUUUUAAAGGGGGUAAUAUAUCUCCAAAUAUUAAAUCCUUGACUGUUUUGACUGAAAUUUUUUAAAAAUUCAAAUUUUAAUACAACUUUCAACAACGGAUCUCUUGGCUCUCGCAUCGAUGAAGAACGCAGC
rnacentral:misc_RNA from 1 species